GACGAACGCUGGCGGCGUGCUUAACACAUGCAAGUGGAGCGACGAACCAGGCUUCGGCCUGGGGCAGAGCCGCGAACGGGUGAGUAACACGUGGGUAACCUGCCUCGAUGACCGGGACAACCCGGGGAAACCCGGGCUAAUACCGGAUGCGCUGCCUUCACAUCAGUGGAGACAGGAAAGGGAGCUUCGGCCUCCGCAUCGAGAUGGGCCCGCGGCCCAUUAGCUUGUUGGGAGGUAAUGGCUCACCAAGGCCGCGAUGGGUAGCUGGUCUGAGAGGACGAUCAGCCACACUGGGACUGAGACACGGCCCAGACUCCUACGGGAGGCAGCAGUGGGGAAUCUUGCGCAAUGCGCGAAAGCGUGACGCAGCAACGCCGC
rnacentral:rRNA from 1 species